UCAUCCGAAUCAAUUCUGAUAUGAAUAAAAAUUUAAGAAUCUGACUAAUAUCCGUAUUCGUAUCUAUAUCCAUCAUAGAAAAAUAGAUAUGUAUAUGGAUAAAUAAUUAUCUAAUUCAUAUCUAAAUAUCCGAAUCGACAUGUGACCCUAUAUAAUUUUAUAUAGUAUUUAUUAAUUUUUUAAAAAAAUAUAACUAUAUAAAUAUAUUAUUAAUUUG
rnacentral:lncRNA from 1 species